ACAUAGGCUUUUGAUGCCAGAGAGCUCUGCUUCCAGGGAAUGAGCCCCUCAGCUCCCACUGGGGGCGGCAACGCCGCCCCUUAGGCAAAGCUUCCGUCUCUUGGAGCCUUUUACCAGCCUACCCUACUGUGGCUGCCCCUGGGUCUGAUACUGAGCUAGAGGGACACCACUCUGAAGGGUGGCAAGAGGCCAGGGGAGCCAGUACGCCAGGAAAUCGGGAUGCUUACAAAAUCUGUGUGUCGGGGUUAAAAGGGCAAAACCCUGUUCCACAGAAGAGCUCUGGUUGAAAAAAACAGGACGGAGGGUACCACUCAGACUGGAAUUCUGGGGCCCCUAUUUGAAGAAGGGUCUUUGGAAACAGCGGAAGGAAUCCACGUUGGUCCUACAGACUGUGUCUUCCUCCGGAUUCUACCCACCCCACGUAGCUGCAGUUGUCCCUUGGCUCCCAAGGGACAGCUCUCACUCUCCAUUUCACUACGUCCGUC